rnacentral:rRNA from 1 species
GACGAACGCUGGCGGCGUGCUUAACACAUGCAAGUCGAACGGUGAAGCGCCUUCCUUUUUGGUGGGUGUGGAUGAGUGGCGAACGGGUGAGUAACACGUGAGUAACCUGCCCCCUUCUUCUGGAUAACCGCAUGAAAGUGUGGCUAAUACGGGAUAUUCUGGGUCUGUCGCAUGAUGGGUCUGGGAAAGAUAUUGUUUCGGUGGGGGAUGGGCUCGCGGCCUAUCAGCUUGUUGGUGGGGUGAUGGCCUACCAAGGCGGUGACGGGUAGCCGGCCUGAGAGGGUGGACGGUCACGCUGGGACUGAGACACGGCCCAGACUCCUACGGGAGGCAGCAGUGGGGAAUAUUGCACAAUGGGCGCAAGCCUGAUGCAGCGACGCCGCGUGAGGGAUGGAGGCCUUCGGGUUGUGAACCUCUUUCGCCAGUGAAGCAGGCCUGCCUCGUUUGUGGGUGGGUUGACGGUAGCUGGAGAAGAAGCGCCGACUAACUACGUG